GACGAUUUUUAGAAAAAGCAAAAAAAUAAAGCCAGAGUGCGUGAAGAGCGAGCACGAGGAGGCAGCCCGGUCCGGAGCAGAUCAAAGGAGAUGGUGGAGAUGCCGAGUGUGGUUUGGUUAAUACGAGCGCAGGAUUGCCUCAGAAGGAAAGAAAUGCUCUUGAAUUUUUUAAUGUCUCGGUCCCGUUUUAUACCAGCCCUGUGGAGGACUCCAUUUUUCUGAACGUGCCGUGACUUUUGAGGACCACGCAUGGUUAGCCAGCCCCAGGGCUCCCGAGUCCCUGAAUCAGCACGUCCGCCUGCAGACACCGAGCCGAGGGGGAGCGCUUCCCCCAGCCGUGACACGGCCACGGCGGGGAGAAGUGCCCUUCUGCUCUGCCCUGGCUUUCCAUCUGCAAAGCGUGUAGCUGCAAGUGCCGCGUGUUUACAAAUGCAGGCAUUGCAAGAUCCCUUGAACUGUGUCCUAGUACAAAAGAGGCUUUGAAACAAGAAACACGUUGUCAUGGCAUGUUCCAGGCCAGCAGCACCA